AUGUUACAGACCUGAAAUAUUACAUACUUCUGUGGAAGCAAGUAAUAUUUCCUGCUUCUUUGGACUGUGGACAAAUGAACAAAUUGCAAAAGUUAAAUGGGGGCAGGGGCCUACCAUGGAGCAAUUGAUCACAAUAAUUGUGUGCGUGCUCUUACCAGGACAGUGUAAUCCUCAGUAAAAUGGAUAAAUUAACACGGUUCAAUUUUCACUUAUUGCAGGGUAGCAGUAUGCCCACAAACAAUUAAUUCAUGGGCACAGUGGGGACCUUGUCCAUGAUGAUUAAUAUGGCUUUCCUGAAACAGAUCUGACUGCCUACACUUCAGUCAACCCUGACACUAGGUACUAGACAUUUUGUACUGUUUCCUGGCUCCAAUCUAUAAAGUUCAUAAACAGUUAUAAGAGAAGGGACUGGAACCCAAGUCCUCCACUCCCAGGAGAUGCUUGAGGGAACAAGGUCUCUCCCAUUCCCUGCUGGUCCCAUUAUUCCUUGUUAUUCCAGGAGAUGCUUGAGGGAACAAGGUCUCUCCCAUUCCCUGCUGGUCCCCCCUGGUAAGUUUAUAGACAGCCACCAGGUCCCCUCUUAGCCUUCUCUUGUGAAAGCUGAACAGGUUCAGGUCCCAUAGCCUCUCCUCGUAGGAUCUGCCCUGCUGUCCCAGGAUCAUGUGAGUGGCCCUCCUUUGGACCCUCCCAAUGUUGUCCACAUCCCUCCUAAAGUGCAGCGCCCAAAACUGGAUGCAGUACUUCAACUGCGGCCUGACCAAUGCUGCAUAGAGGGGGAGGAUCACCUCCUUGGCCCUGCUUGUGAUGCAUCUGUGGAUGCAUGACAAGUUGCGGUUAGCCUUAUUAACCGCGUCCUCACAUUGGCGGCCCAUGUUAAUUUUGGAAUCAAUAAUGACUCCAAGAACUCUUUCAGCCACUGUGCUUUUGAGAAGGGAGUUCCCCAGCCUAUAGGUAUGCUGCUGGUUCUUACUGCCCAAGUGCAGUACCCUGCACUUGUCAGUAUUGAAUCCCAUCCUGUUCUGAUUCGCCCACCCCAGUAACCUGUGCAGGUCUAGUUGUAUCCUGUCCCUCCCUUCUAGCGUGCCCACCUUGCCCCAAAUCUUGGUCUCGUCAGUGAAUGUGAACAGGGCGCUUUUCACGCCCUCAUCCAAGUCACUAAUAAAGAAAUUGAACAGGUCGAAUAUGACCCGUCCACCACCACUCUCUGGGUGCAGCCCCUCAGCCAAUUUGCAAUCCAUCUGACUGUGUAGGCAUCAAUGACACAGUCGCCUAGCUUUUUAAUGAGAAUGGGGUGGGAGACAGUGUCGAAGGCCUUCCUGAAGUCCAGAAAGACUACAUCCACUGCGACACCUGCGUCCAAUGAUUUUGUGACCUAAUCGUAGAAGGCAAUCAGGUUGGUCUGACAGGACCUGCCCCUGAACAUCAUCCCCCCUGCUGGUCUUUCACAGAUGUGCUCCUGGAUAGUUUUCUCAAAGAGCUUCCCCAGGAUUGAAGUAAAACUAAUGGGCCUAUAGUUGACCGGGUCCUCCCUCCUCCCUUUUUUGAAAAUGGGGACCACAUUGGCCUUCUUCCAGUCUUCUGGCACCUGGCCAGAGCACCAUGAGUGCUCCUAAAGCCAUGCAAGGGGCCCCGUGAUAACCCCUGCCAAUUCCCUCAGAACCCUGGGAUGGAGAGCAUCUGGACCUGCUGAUUUGAAAACGUCCAGCCCCUCCAGAAGUUCCCUAACUCGGUCCUCCCUGACCCUAGGCCUGGCAGUCUCUCCUGAGUCCAUCCUGAAUCUUGGUGGGGGAGUCCUAGUCCCUGGACAAAAAAAUGGAGGCAAAGAAAUUGUUAAAAAGGUCUGCCUUUUCCUCUGGUGCAACCACCAGAUUGCCUAGCGUAUCCUGCAGGGACCCCAUAUUACCCAGUGCCUUCUUCACACUUCCUAUGCAUUUAAAAAAAGGACUUUUUGUUGUCCUUGAUCCUUGAUGUUAGCCUUAGUUCUAUAUCUGCUUUAGCUUUCCUAACAGCCCCCUUACAGACCCAAGCGAUGGAGGUAUACUCCUCUUUGGUGAUAGUCCCUCCCUUCCACUGGGUGUACGCCUCCUUUUUGGCUUUCAGGCAUUCCUGCCUGAGCCAGGGGGGCUUUUGAGCACUCUUGCCCCCUUUGAUUCACAUUGGGUCUGUCACCCCUUGGGCUUGGAGGAUUG